rnacentral:rRNA from 1 species
CCUACGGGGGGCAGCAGUGAGGAAUAUUGGUCAAUGGCCGGAAGGCUGAACCAGCCAUGCCGCGUGAAGGUCAGUGCCCUAUGGGCGUUAAACUUCUUUUGUGCGGGAGCAAUAAUGGUCACGUGUGGCCAGACGAGAGUACCGUACGAAUAAGCAUCGGCUAACUCCGUGCCAGCAGCCGCGGUAAUACGGGGGAUGCAGGCGUUAUCCGGAGUUAUUGGGUUUAAAGGGUGCGUAGGCUGUGAGGUAAGUCAGCGGUGAAAUGCCCCCGCGCAACGGGGUGAAGUGCCAUUGAUACUGCCUGGCUUGAAUGCGGAUGCCGUAGGAGGAAUGUGUGGUGUAGCGUUGAAAUGCAUAGAUAUCACACAGAACACCGAUUGCGAAGGCAUCUCACGAAUCCGCGAUUGACGCUGAUGCACGAAAGCGUGGGUAUCAAACAGGAUUAGAUACCCUGGUAGUC